GGAGAUGCCCUAAGUGUUGAAUCCAAAAGAUAGAAAAUGAUUAUUUCAUUUUUUUAAACAAAAAUAAGAUACGUCUCUCCACCUUCAAACCAUAAAUCAAACUCUUCCUAUGUCCAUAUCCAAAUCCGUUUCUUACAUCCCAAAUUCUUAGUUGUUCUUCUCCCUCUUCCGUCUCACUUCUUUCACUCACCCUAGCUCUCAAGUCUCAACCAUUAUUGGAUUUUAAGUAUCUCCAGAUCGAGAAGGGAAACUGGUUUCCGUGGGAGAAGGUCAGUUUUUUCUAAGCGGUGGAUUUAUCGACGAAAUUAGACGUUGGGAUCUCAAAACCGAGAAAGAUCUGCUUCGAUUCAAGUCGUGUGGUUCUCGGGCGCACAGCCGAAAACUUUGGUCGAGUAAAGAAUCGAUUUUUCUAUCAAGCAACAAUGGGUCAAGUUCUGUUUUGUUCUCACAGUCACACCUAUCCUCUCUGACGUUCUUGAAGCUGAUGUUUUCAGUUGAUAGUGAUUGAAUGAUGAGCCUGCUCUUGCUUAACUCGUCUUGGAAACUCAAGAAUUCUCCAAUUGGUAUGUCUUGAUUUUGAUGAUGUUGGUUUCUCUUGUCUGAAAGCUCCGAGUAUGACCUAUAACACCACCUUUUCAACAUCUGAACUUCCCACACCAAAGUCGUGGAAUGUUGAUAUUCUAGUUGAUACAAUCAAUCUGCUUAUGAGGGAGGAUAAGAAGAAGAAGAAGAAUGAUGAAGGAGAAGUGAAGGAAGGCGUAGCGCAUCAAUAGCUUUGUUGCCACGUGGGUAUAUCUCUGGUCAUUUUUUUCAAAUGUCUAGCUCCAUCUGUUUUGGUCUCGAUGGAGAAAGAUCAAGUGUCAGCUAUUGUGGUUGAGUCUUGUAUGGCUGGUUAUGCCGGGGUAACUACAAUCUCCAUGGUUAUUGGGGUAGUAGGUGGCUUAAAGAAGGCUCAACUCGGCUCUCCUCAGUGUCACCAAAGUCACCGAAGUUGGAGGUUGAAGCUGAUUACGUGAUGAGCUUUAGGACAUGCUCGGAAAUGAGUUUUAUGCUGGUGCUUACAAGGACGACGAUUCAACAUGAAUUUAGCGUUUUGAUCACUAGAGUUCGAUAAGUGAGUAUAGCAAGGAAUAGCACCAGCCAAGCACCAAGCUUGAGUUUUUACCAAAGACUUCUAGAACUUUGGUUUGAGAACUUAUCUACAGUUAGCUCUUUGGUUUGAGAACUUAUCUACAGUUUUUGGUUUUCUUUCUCUUUUUCAUUCCUAUCAUCUGAGUUGAUUUAAAUUUGCAGCUUGAUGUAGAAGAUAUCUUCCCAAAUUUUGGGUCAUACUUUCUUAAAUUGCAGCAAGAACAAGUCUUCGACAAUGAAGCGCCAGUCGGAGUUUCACAGGGAGAGAGAACCAGAACGGUUGUGUACUGUUGGAAAGAAAAUGGUUGUGGAAUUGUGCGGGGGAGAAGAGGUAAAGAUCAGCUGGGAACCUAUUAAGCAAGAAGAGGAGCAUUUAGAAGAUGAUUGCUCAGAAAUACGGUAAGCUUUAGAAAAUAAACUUUGUUUCAUCUAGAGGGGAAGUUUGUUUCUCCUUUUCCUUUAUCUCAUAAAGUAGAGUAGAGUAGUUGAUGUUUUUGUAUAAGAUUUGGUUUGGAUUAAUAUUUGUAAAAUUUGAUAUGUUUUAUGGAUUUUCUAUAAAAAAUAUAUAUUUAAAUU